GGCCGGUUAGCUCAGCUGGUUAGAAUGUGGUGCUAAUAACGCCAAGGACGCGGGUUCGAUCCCUGUACUGGCCA
rnacentral:tRNA from 1 species